ACGCUGGCGGCACGCCUAACACAUGCAAGUCGAACGAAGUAGCAAUACUUAGUGGCAGACGGGUGAGUAACAUGUAGGUAUCUGCCCUUUGGCCUGGAAUAACACGAGGAAACUUGUGCUAAUACCGGAUAAGUCUUUACGGAGAAAGCUUUAUGCACCAUUGGAUGAGCCUGCACUUGAUUAGUUUGUUGGUGGGGUAAUGGCCUACCAAGACUGUGAUCAAUAGCUGAUUUGAGAGGAUGAUCAGCCACAUUGGGACUGAGACACGGCCCAAACUCCUACGGGAGGCAGCAGUGGGGAAUCUUGCACAAUGGAGGAAACUCUGAUGCAGCGAUGCCGCGUGAGUGAAGAAGGCCCUUGGGUUGUAAAGCUCUUUCGUCGGGGAAGAAAAUGACUGUACCCGAAUAAGAAGGUCCGGCUAACUUCGUGCCAGCAGCCGCGGUAAUACGAAGGGACCUAGCGUAGUUCGGAAUUACUGGGCUUAAAGAGUUCGUAGGUGGUUGAAAUAGUUGGUGGUGAAAUCCCAGAGCUUAACUCUGGAACUGCCAUCAAAACUUUUCAGCUAGAGUAUGAUAGAGGAAAGCAGAAUUUCUAGUGUAGAGGUGAAAUUCGUAGAUAUUAGAAAGAAUACCAAUUGCGAAGGCAGCUUUCUGGAUCAUUACUGACACUGAGGAACGAAAGCAUGGGUAGCGAAGAGGAUUAGAUACCCUCGUAGUCCAUGCCGUAAACGAUGUGUGUUAGACGUUGGAAAUUUAUUUUCAGUGUCGCAGGGAAACCGAUAAACACACCGCCUGGGGAGUACGACCGCAAGGUUAAAACUCAAAUGAAUUGACGGGGACCCGCACAAGUAGUGGAGCAUGUGGUUUAAUUCGAAGAUACGCGCAGAACCUUACCAACACUUGACAUGUUCGUCGCGACUCUAAGAGAUUAGAGUUUUCGGUUCGGCCGGACGAAACACAGGUGCUGCAUGGCUGUCGUCAGCUCGUGUCGUGAGAUGUUGGGUUAAGUCCCGCAACGAGCGCAACCCUCACUUUUAGUUGCCAUCAUUAAGUUGGGCACUCUGAAAGAACUGCCAGUGAUAAGCUGGAGGAAGGUGGGGAUGACGUCAAGUCCUCAUGGCCCUUACGUGUUGGGCUACACACGUGCUACAAUGGUAUCUACAACAGGAAGCAAGACUGCGAAGUUAAGCAAAUCCCUAAAAGAUACCUCAGUUCGGAUUGCACUCUGCAACUCGAGUGCAUGAAGCUGGAAUUACUAGUAAUCGUGGAUCAGCGUGCCACGGUGAAUGCGUUCCCGGGUCUUGUACACACCGCCCGUCA
rnacentral:rRNA from 1 species